rnacentral:rRNA from 1 species
AGAGUUUGAUCAUGGCUCAGAACGAACGCUGGCGGCAUGCCUAACACAUGCAAGUCGAACGAGGGCUUCGGCCCUAGUGGCGCACGGGUGAGUAACGCGUGGGAACCUGCCCUGUGGUACGGAAUAACUCCGGGAAACUGGAGCUAAUACCGUAUGUGUCUUGAGGGACAAAGAUUUAUCGCCAUGGGAUGGGCCCGCGUAGGAUUAGCUUGUUGGUGGGGUAACGGCCUACCAAGGCUUCGAUCCUUAGCUGGUCUGAGAGGAUGAUCAGCCACACUGGGACUGAGACACGGCCCAGACUCCUACGGGAGGCAGCAGUGGGGAAUAUUGGACAAUGGGCGCAAGCCUGAUCCAGCAAUGCCGCGUGAGUGAUGAAGGCCUUCGGGUUGUAAAGCUCUUUCGCACGCGACGAUGAUGACGGUAGCGUGAGAAGAAGCCCCGGCUAACUUCGUGCCAGCAGCCGCGGUAAUACGAAGGGGGCUAGCGUUGUUCGGAAUUACUGGGCGUAAAGGGCGCGUAGGCGGUACUUCAAGUCAGGCGUGAAAGCCCCGGGCUCAACCUGGGAACCGCGCUUGAGACUGGAGAACUAGAGUUCGGGAGAGGAUGGUGGAAUUCCCAGUGUAGAGGUGAAAUUCGUAGAUAUUGAGAAGAACACCGAUGGCGAAGGCAGCCAUCUGGACCGACACUGACGCUGAGGCGCGAAAGCGUGGGGAGCAAACAGGAUUAGAUACCCUAGUAGUCC